CUUAAAGGACAAUGGCAAUAAAUUUUUUUAUUCUCGAUAUCUAUUAAGCAUACCUACGGAAUACUUAAUUACGUAUUUUCACUUGUCUAUCGCGUUUAGUUGUUCAGAAAUAUCAUAAAACUUUCGACAGUCGUCCGCCAUCUUGAAAAAAACCUGGUAUGCUAAUUUAUGUGAGAAUAAAUUUGUGACGUCAAGAGCAGGGGAAACAAAUAUUGUCAAUAUAAAAUAGUAUGCGUGCGAACACAUUCUACGAAGAUUUUGACCAAAAAGUGCGGAUAAACUCCAAAUUUUUUUGUAUAACUGCGUAAAAAUUUAGCGCUACUACUCUACUGUGUGUUUCAGCUGUGUUUUUGAAAUAAACGCGUUGAUUUCGGCGGUAAAAGCUCUUAGAUUAUAAAUGAUUGGCCAUAGGCAUAGUCUGGUACUAUGUCAAUAUGACAAUAUGCUCGCCCACUUUGUAGACUUUUAUAUUUACUGUUCUCGGUGAUCACGGCACGGCUAUAACCACAUCAACAGGAACAAUAUCGCAUAAAUAAAUACUAUAAAAUGACUGAGAAUAUGUUUUGAUUCUUUGCAAUUCGCGUGCAAAAAUCGUUUUGAUGUUUUUGUGAUAUAAAUAAUGAGGACAAAUAUGUUUAUAAACUUAAUUUUAAUAAAGCAUUAAUAUAUACACCACUGCACUUUAAUAGAUAAUAGGACAAUUGCAAAUAAUGGGGUUGCAUGCUGCACAUUAUAUAAUAAAGCUGAUUACAUGAUUACAUCGAAGGAAUUAGAGGAUCUUCAACCUUGGAUUUUGACUCAGUUCAAAAAUAUAAAAGUUAAAACUAAAUUUCAAACCUGUUUCGAGCACCCAGGCUGAACAAAUUCAAACGCUGUCAACAGUAUAAAACUAGUUUAUCCCCAGGCUUGAAAAUGCUUCAUGUAAUCGGCACAUACUAUAGAGUUAUUAUAUAAAUUUGGCCAAAUUUGAAUAAAUGAACUUUCAAACAAUCUCAAAGCCCCAAACUGCUCUCGAAUACAUAAUUCCCAUUAUAGACUAAUUUUAAAACUAGGCAAGGAGAUGCAAAUAAAUCACCACAGCUAGAAAGAGCAUACUAAAAUGGGUAACAUUGCAAAGCUUGGUUGCGAAAUGUUGUAAAAUGCGGAAAAUAUAGCAAAUUUUGUAUACUUUUGUAUUGCGUGCGUUAAUUGCUACCACAUUUGGGCCGAAAAUUAGCAAUUUCCGCACGCAAUACAAAAGUAUACAAAAUUUGCGAACUUUGCAAGGCUAUGUGUUCCGCAUUUUACAACAUUUCGCAACUAAACUUUGCAAUUUUACUCAUUUUAGUAUGCUCUUUCUAGCUGUCGUGAUUUAUUUGCAUCUCCUUGCCUAGUUUUAAAAUUACUCUAUAAUGGGGAUUUGUCUAUUAUUGUGUGAACACACGCAUGCCGUGAAGUGGCCUUCUGUUCUUAUUCCCCAAAAUCUGAAAUACCCAACGCGAACAUCGUUGGAAGCUACUAGUCUAUAAAUUUUGUGUAUCUUGUCCAAAUCUUUGUCAUCCAGAGGCCAGUUUAAUAUCUUCAAGAUAGCGACAAACGUCUAUUUAAUAGCCCUUCCGAUAAGCAUGUUCGCUUUCAAUUCUGCAUGUAUUGACAGUGUUGUAAAGGCAGUCGAGCACUUCUCCCCUUGGGUUUCAGCCUCCUUUAAUCAUGCAUCUUAUUCAUCGUAUUCUAACGCUUUAUCGUGGCAACAAAACAAUUCAAUAUCUUUUGGCUUCAAUGUGCAAUGCGCCAAGCAUUUUCGACCUCAAACACAUUACACAUCGUGAUUUCCUCGUCAGACGAUUCACUCUGUUCUUCGGAGUCGCUCUCGUCACCGCUAUCGCUUGUUUGUAAGCCCAGUUUAGGUUGAAAUUGAUAAGGUAAUACCUUAUCUACUUGAUAUCGUGGAUAUUUUCCAUCCGAGUAAUCAAAAAGCGCCAAAUUUCUCACUAGAAGUACGAAGUCGCAAUAUGCGCCUAAUAAAAUAUAUUUGUUGUUUUGAUUCUACCCUGCUCUUGACGUCACACAGGUCAUGUGACCCAAAAGAUAAUUUUUUUGAAAAUCGAUCCAAGAUGGCGGACGUACUGAAUAUUUACGGUGAAAUAACUCGAGAACAAAACAUUUUUGAUAAAAACUAAUGGCAUAUUCGUAAUCAGGGGGUCCAGUUUUACCAAUAUCAGGAAUAAAAAAAUUUAUUGCCAUUGUCCUUUAAG